CCAUUGGCUGCUCCUGCGAGCCAUGUGACAUUGCCAGGACUGGACCCGGUGUGGAGAGCCAGGGAGAGGAACGGGAAGGAGAGACGACCAGCCCCGUGCCCAAGUGAGGAGCCCACCAUAACCCCCGGAAGCCCACAGGAGAUUCCUGUUUGUGCCACAGCCUAAAGAAAAGCCACCUGCAGCUGUGCCAGGACAGAGACCAUGGAUCCAGGCUCAAAGGAUCUGCCUAGCUCCCCACAGAAGCCAGGGGUGAAAGGUCGCUCAAAAUCUACAGAGGAGAUCCAGCCAGCCAGGAAGGCAUUCCACACACCCCAGAAAUCCCUUCCUAACCAGGACCAUGGAGACGAAGCCCAGGAACCUCAAGAGGCAUCCGUCCCUCGCCAGGUGGGGAAGGAGCAGACCUGAGGAGCAGGUGCUGGAUCAGAGAGCCAAGUCCAUCACAGCUCUUCGCCCCAGCCCCAUGGGCCCCGUGUGUCCAUGUGCACGUUUGUCUGUCUGUCUGAGCAACAGGGAAAAUAAAGUCUCUUGGCAAUGCU